rnacentral:rRNA from 1 species
GACGAACCGUGCGAACGUUGUUCGGAUUCACUGGGCUUAAAGGGCGCGUAGGCGGGCGAUCCAGUCGGGGGGUGAAAGUUUUCGGCUCAACCGGAAAAGGGCCUCUGAUACGGGUCGUCUCGAGGGAGGUAGGGGCAUGCGGAACUUCCGGUGGAGCGGUGAAAGUGCGCAGAUAUCGGGAAGAACACCCGUGGCGAAGGCGGUUCUCUGGGACGGUACUGACGCUGAGACGCGAAAGCGUGGGGAGCGAACAGG